rnacentral:rRNA from 1 species
GAUGAACGCUGGCGGCGUGCCUAAUACAUGCAAGUCGAGCGAACAGACGAGGAUCUUGCUCCUCUGACGUUAGCGGCGGACGGGUGAGUAAAACGUGGAUAACCUACCUAUAAGACUGGGAUAACUUCGGGAAACCGGAGCUAAUACCGGAUAAUAUAUUGAACCGCAUGGUUCAAUAGUGAAAGACGGUUUUGCUGUCACUUAUAGAUGGAUCCGCGCCGCAUUAGCUAGUUGGUAAGGUAACGGCUUACCAAGGCAACGAUGCGUAGCCGACCUGAGAGGGUGAUCGGCCACACUGGAACUGAGACACGGUCAAGACUCCUACGGGAGGCAGCAGUAGGGAAUCUGCCGCAAUGGGCGAAAGCCUGACGGAGCAACGCCGCGUGAGUGAUGAAGGUCUUCGGAUCGUAAAACUCUGUUAUUAGGGAAGAACAAAUGUGUAAGUAACUAUGCACGUCUUGACGGUACCUAAUCAGAAAGCCACGGCUAACUACGUG